rnacentral:misc_RNA from 1 species
AACGCACAUUGCGCCCGCUAGUAUUCUGGCGGGCAUGCCUGUUCGAGCGUCAUUUCAACCCCUCGCGCCCCCUGUGGGCGCGGCGUCGGGGAGCACCGUAGCCGGUGCCCCUUAGAAACAUUGGCGGACCCCCCGUGGAAUCCGAGCGCAGUAACAUACCUCUCGCUAUGGAAGACCGGGCCGGAGCCCUGCCGUAAAACCCCCAAAACUUUUUAAGGUUGACCUCGGAUCAGGUAGGAAUACCCGCUGAACUUAA